UUGUUGGAUAAAUCUGGAAAAUGCUGAGACUCCAAAGUAAUAAAGAUGGUUAUAAAUUAUAAUGCAUCAAAUUAAAAGAAAAUCUUGAUCCAAAGUGAAAUUCAGAAGGGGAGUAGGUGGGAGAAAAGGAGAGGAUGAGAGGGAGAGGGAAAGAGAACAGAGAGACAGUGAGAGAGACAGCGAGCGAGAAAUUGUAUGUGUACUUGGUACGUGGGGCAGAGGGAGAAAGAGACGGAGAAACACGAAAUGAGGGGAAGAGGGUAGGGGUGUCUGGGGAGGGAGAGAGGAGGAGGAAGACAGAAAAUUCUUUUUUAAAGAAUAACAGAUGUGUUGACAAUUGAUUCAGGCUAGGAUUAUCCCUGGGUGCUAAAAGCAGGUUGCUGAGGAAUAAAAAUUCACAUUGUCUUCUCCCUGUAGAUUACUUAUUAAUUACAGAGCAUCAUUCCAUAGAUACCUUAUUAAUUUCAAAGGAGAAAAAUGAUCCUUUACGUUGGAUAGAUUUACCAGUCGGCAUGUAACCAAAUGAUCAAGCUUAUCAUCAGUACUGGAACAAGCUUCCAGCUUGUGCCCUUUGCUGUGACACAGUGAGAAGUGCACAUGUCAUUGGUGUCAACAAUGUUUAACCCUGUGGUUUUCAAAGUGUGGUCCUUAGAUCGGGAACAUCAGCAGCACCCGGGAACUUGUUGGAGAUGCUGUGACUGCACCCUGACAUAGACCUGUUGAAUCAGAAACCCUGGGAUAGGGCGGGCAGUCCGUGUCCAGAAAGUUUCCCUAUGACGCUAAAGCAUGCUAAAAUUUCAGACCCCCUAGUUUAACCUGAAUCUGAUGAAAACAUUAGACAGAUUCAGAUCACAGAUUUUCUACUAGCCUGAACUCUUUAAAAAUGUCAAGGUCACAAAUAACACAAAAAAGUAGAGCCUGGGAGGGUUUGUAGGAAGAAACUUUUAGAUGAAAGCUAAAGAGAUAACAAUCGAGUGAGUUUUAACUGGAUCCUGAAUUUAAAAAAACAAAACAAAACAAAGCCUCUGUCACAAUGUCUGCAACUGAUCAACUUACUUUCGAGCGACGCUCAAAAAAUAAAAACAAACAAGCAAAAACAGAUAAAAAGUAAACAGAUAAAUAAAAUCUAUAUAUUUUUAUCCGUAUGUAGAAAAAGAAAAAGAAACCUGAAAUAACGGGAACAACUAAUGUACAUCAAUGUCAUUGAGCUAUUUUUUUUCAGCUUUUCUGCAAUUCUGAACAUUUUCCUAGGGAGUGGAACAAAAAUUAAUGCAAAAAAAAAAAAAAAAAGAUAUCUAGACAUUGAAAGAAAGCUGAGUAUUCUAAAAAACAAAACAAAACAAAACAAAGAAACAAACAAACAAAAAAAAGCAAAGAAGUCAACACACAGAACAAUUCCGUGAAUUCGUUUUUGCAAAGAGAGAGAGUGUAGACUGAAGCCGCUGCGGGUUCGACCACCGGAGUGGCACAGCUGGGCUCCAGGGUUAGUAACUACCGAGUGCGGACGGUGGUUCCACAGCCACCCACACACGGACCACAUUAAACAGUGCCGUGCUUCCAAUCUUCCCCUUUACUGUGGAGGAAACACGGAGAGAGUUAAUAACAUUAUCAGCCAUGAGCUUUUAAGGUUCAGCAUCCCCAUAAAACCGAAGAAUCCCGACUUGCAGCCUCAGCAGUGAAAUUACUGCCAUGAAAAUCACCGCCAAUGGCCGAGUGGCACGAAAGAAUAAUUAUACGUGUUUACUGGUUAGCCAUCAGUCAAGUCCAAGCACCACGAGAUGAAAUGUGAAAUGCAAUUAAAUAUGAAUGCAUGGUCUGAGGGCCUCCCAGCCAACAGACACACA